UACGGGGGGGGCAAGCGUUGUUCGGAAUUACUGGGCGUAAAGGGCUCGUAGGCGGCCAACUAAGUCGGAUGUGAAAUCCCCAGGCUUAACCUGGGAACUGCAUCCGAUACUGGAUGGCUUGAGUCCGGGAGAGGAGAGUGGAAUUCCCAGUGUAGCGGUGAAAUGCGUAGAUAUUGGGAGGAACACCGGUGGCGAAGGCGGCAUCCUGGACCGACACUGACGCUGAGGAGCGAAAGCCAGGGGAGCAAAGCGGG
rnacentral:rRNA from 1 species